AACCUCUUUUCUCAGGGAAGAAGAUCUGACGGUACCUGAGGAAUAAGCAUCGGCUAACUCCGUGCCAGCAGCCGCGGUAAUACGGAGGAUGCAAGCGUUAUCCGGAAUUAUUGGGCGUAAAGAGUCCGUAGGUGGCUAAUCAAGUCUGUUGUCAAAGACCGCAGCUUAACUGCGGAAAGGCAAUGGAAACUGAUGAGCUAGAGUAUGGUAGGGGUAGAGGGAAUUCCCAGUGUAGCGGUGAAAUGCGUAGUUUUUCUAAGAACACCGGUGGCGAAAGCGCUCUACUGGACCAAAACUGACACUGA
rnacentral:rRNA from 1 species